CCUAUAUGUCAGAUUUAAGUCCCAGAAGCAGUAGGAAUGCAGACCCUAGAAAAAAAAUUAAAGAAUGUAGUUUAUUUUUUCCUCUGGGGUGUUAACUGCAGCUACUACAGAAUGCAGACUUUGGAAUUUCAGGCAUAACAUCUGAAACCAUGCAAGAAUUUAGAUUUCUGUAUUAAAGCUAAAUCUUCAUGUAAAUAUGGUGUAAAACAAUGCAUUAUCAUUAUAAACACUGUGCCUUACGAGCUGGUUCAAGCAGAACCCAGAUAAUUGGAAAUUAUAUGAAUUUAUAGAUUUUCCAUUUGAACCUUAUUAGUGUUGUUUAAACUUGUAAUAAUGGAUAUUUUCUAGUUAUCUGUUUUCUUUUUUUCAUACACUGUGAUGGUAUUUUAUGAAAUCAUUUGGUUUUGGGAAGUUGGAAUUUCCUAAAGCCACAGCAUUAAAGUCAGAUAAUUUUAUUUACCCAAAAGUUUCUGGAACGCUGUGGUUCUGUACUGUGUAUACAACUAAAAUAAGAAUAUAAAUUUAUAUAAAAAUAAAAAUACAACUAUAUAAGUAA
rnacentral:lncRNA from 1 species